rnacentral:rRNA from 1 species
UACGGAGGAUCCGAGCGUUAUCCGGAAUUAUUGGGUUUAAAGGGUGCGUAUGCGGACUGGUAAGUCUGCUGUGAAAGAUUACGGCUCAACCGUGAAAUUGCAGUUGAUACUGUUGGUCUUGAGUAUACAUGAGGUGGGCGGAAUUUGUGGUGUAGCGGUGAAAUGCUUAGAUAUCACAAAGAACACCAGUUGCGAAGGCUGCUGACUGGGGUAUAACUGACGCUGAUGCACGAAAGUGUGGGUAGCAAACAGG